rnacentral:rRNA from 1 species
GGUAUGUAAAGCUCUAUCAGCAGGGAAGAUAAUGACGGUACCUGACUAAGAAGCACCGGCUAAAUACGUGCCAGCAGCCGCGGUAAUACGUAUGGUGCAAGCGUUAUCCGGAUUUACUGGGUGUAAAGGGAGCGCAGGCGGUGCGGUAAGUCUGAUGUGAAAGCCCGGGGCUCAACCCCGGUACUGCAUUGGAAACUGUCGUACUAGAGUGUCGGAGGGGUAAGCGGAAUUCCUAGUGUAGCGGUGAAAUGCGUAGAUAUUAGGAGGAACACCAGUGGCGAAGGCGGCUUACUGGACGAUAACUGACGCUGAGGCUCGAAAGCGUGGGGAGCAAACAGGAUUAGAUACCCUGGUAGUCCACGCCGUAAA